AUACCAUGAAUUUUGAUCCCCCAAUUUCAAACCUAUCCCAACUCCAUCGCCCGUGAGGACAACAACUCAGAAAAUUACCAGAGCUACUGUUCCAGAAAUUACAAUGGCCCCAAAGCAAAGGAUGAGACAAGUUAAAGAUCUAGAAGUAGAUACCAAUGAGAUUAAAACACAUCAAGUAACAAAAGACAGAGGAAGCCUCAUCGCAAUUGAUCAAAAUGAGAAGCAUGCAGGGAAGCUUAGAGAUAUUGAAGAUGAAUAUACAUUUUCUUCAUCUGCAUCAAGUUACACAUUAGUGAUAUUAGUUGUAUAUGUACAAUUGUUUGUUGUGGUUGUUUGAUGUGUAAAUACGGCCGUUAUUGUCUCGUGACUGACCCAUUGUGGAUCUCUGAAUUUCGAAUAUGAAAGGAAAUCUAGAUAUACUGAAUGGCCCAGUUUCAACCCACACUUUAAUAAAUUUUGCUCUUAUAGACUAGUGUU